UACGUAGGUGGCAAGCGUUAUCCGGAUUUACUGGGUGUAAAGGGCGUGUAGGCGGGGACGCAAGUCAGAUGUGAAAACCACGGGCUCAACCUGUGGCCUGCAUUUGAAACUGUGUUUCUUGAGUACUGGAGAGGCAGACGGAAUUCCUAGUGUAGCGGUGGAAUGCGUAGAUAUUAGGAGGAACACCAGUGGCGAAGGCGGUCUGCUGGACAGCAACUGACGCUGAGGCGCGAAAGCGUGGGGAGCAAACAGG
rnacentral:rRNA from 1 species